GGAAAAGUCUGUAGCUCAGUGGUAGAAUACCCGCUUUGCAUUAUGGAAGGUCACAGAUUCAAUUCCUGUCAUCUCCA
rnacentral:tRNA from 1 species